UCGACGGGGAGGUUUGGCACCUCGAUGUCGGCUCAUCGCAUCCUGGGGCUGGAAGUAGGUCCCAAGGUUGGGCUGUUCGGCCCAUUAAGCGGUACGCGAGCUGGGUUCAGAACGUCGUGAGACAGUUCGGUCCCUAUCUGUCGUGGGCGUAGGAAUUUGAGAGGAGCUGUCCUUAGUACGAGAGGACCGGGAUGGACGUACCGCUGGUGUACCAGUUGUUCCGCCAGGAGCACCGCUGGGUAGCUAUGUACGGAAGGGAUAAGCGCUGAAAGCAUCUAAGCGUGAAGCCCCCCUCAAGAUGAGAUUUCCCAAUUAGUAAGACCCCUUGGAGACGACGAGGUAGAUAGGUUGGGGGUGGAAGUGCAGUAAUGCAUGGAGCUGACCAAUACUAAUCGGUCGAGGGCUUAUCCUAAA
rnacentral:rRNA from 1 species